rnacentral:rRNA from 1 species
UACGAAGGGGGCUAGCGUUGCUCGGAAUCACUGGGCGUAAAGGGUGCGUAGGCGGGUCUUUAAGUCAGAGGUGAAAUCCUGGAGCUCAACUCCAGAACUGCCUUUGAUACUGAGGAUCUUGAGUUCGGGAGAGGUGAGUGGAACUGCGAGUGUAGAGGUGAAAUUCGUAGAUAUUGGGAAGAACACCGGUGGCGAAGGCGGCGCUCUGGACCGAGACUGACGCUGAGGCGCGAAAGCGUGGGGAGCAAACAGG